AUUUAUAGGUUGCCUUCCUUGUAUUUUAAGUUCCAGUGAUAUUUGUCAUCAUAUGUAAGUACUCUUUAGAGUUACCAUGUCCUAUACUUACUAUUUUUCUCAAUUUCACUUUAAUUAUACCACUUGCAUACAGGUAUGAAUAUUAUUAAACACAGAUUUAUUUCUGCACUCUCAGUACUCCAAGCAAUAAUCCUACGCUAUACUAGUGCGUGCUGCCUCAGAAUUAGUAAUAGAUGCAGGAUAUAUUCCUCAUCUAAGAAUUUCACAGUCUUUCCAGAAACACACAUGAAAGUGAGGCAGAGAAUAAGGAAAAUGCCCAGAACAUCCACAGAUUAGAGAAACAGAUACAAUGUGAGGGAUGAGCUGUGAGUCUUCAUAUAAGCACCAAGAGAGGAGCUGGCAGUGUGACAGCCCACAGGGACUCCACCUCCCUGAGCCUCCUCACCUUUGCAUCAUUCUCUCUCACACUGUUUCCUGGCUGGCCUGCGUGACCACUGGCAAAGGUCAGAAGCGACGUCACGUCUGUGAUUGGGUUAUAAAACACUGUGACUUCCACCCAGUCUCUCUCCUUCUUGCUCUCUCUCUCUCCACUCUGGGAGAAGCCAGCUACCGUUCUGUGAAAACCUUCCAGCAACUUACAGGGAGGCCCAUAUGGAAGGAAGAGAGACCAGUGGCCAACUUGCAGCAAGGACCUGGGGCCACCAUCACCAUUACCAGAAAUCGAACUCAGGACCUUGCACUUGCCAGGCAGCUGCGGCACUGCUGA
rnacentral:lncRNA from 1 species